ACGGAAGGCAGCAGUGGGGAAUAUUGCACAAUGGGGGAAACCCUGAUGCAGCGACGCCGCGUGAAGGAAGAAGUAUCUCGGUAUGUAAACUUCUAUCAGCAGGGAAGAUAGUGACGGUACCUGACUAAGAAGCCCCGGCUAACUACGUGCCAGCAGCCGCGGUAAUACGUAGGGGGCAAGCGUUAUCCGGAUUUACUGGGUGUAAAGGGAGCGUAGACGGUGUGGCAAGUCUGAUGUGAAAGGCAUGGGCUCACCCUGUGGACUGCAUUGGAAACUGUCAUACUUGAGUGCCGGAGGGGUAAGCGGAAUUCCUAGUGUAGCGGUGAAAUGCGUAGAUAUUAGGAGGAACACCAGUGGCGAAGGCGGCUUACUGGACGGUAACUGACGUUGAGGCUCGAAAGCGUGGGGAGCAAACAGGAUUAGAUACCCUGGUA
rnacentral:rRNA from 1 species